UGGGGAAUUUUGGACAAUGGACGCAAGUCUGAUCCAGCCAUGCCGCGUGCGGGAAGAAGGCCUUCGGGUUGUAAACCGCUUUUGUCAGGGAAGAAACGAGUUUCUCUAAUACAGAGACUUAAUGACGGUACCUGAAGAAUAAGCACCGGCUAACUACGUGCCAGCAGCCGCGGUAAUACGUAGGGUGCGAGCGUUAAUCGGAAUUACUGGGCGUAAAGCGUGCGCAGGCGGUUAUAUAAGACAGAUGUGAAAUCCCCGGGCUCAACCUGGGACCUGCAUUUGUGACUGCAUAGCUAGAGUACGGUAGAGGGGGAUGGAAUUCCGCGUGUAGCAGUGAAAUGCGUAGAUAUGCGGAGGGACACCGAUGGCGAAGGCAAUCCCCUGGACCUGUACUGACGCUCAUGCACGAAAGCGUGGGGAGCAAACA
rnacentral:rRNA from 1 species